AUUGAACGCUGGCGGCAUGCCUUACACAUGCAAGUCGAACGGCAGCACGGGAGCAAUCCUGGUGGCGAGUGGCGAACGGGUGAGUGAUGUAUCGGAACGUGCCCAGUCGUGGGGGAUAACGUAGCGAAAGCUACGCUAAUACCGCAUACGAUCUAUGGAUGAAAGCGGGGGACCGUAAGGCCUCGCGCGAUUGGAGCGGCCGAUAUCAGGUUAGGUAGUUGGUGGGGUAAAGGCCUACCAAGCCGACGAUCUGUAGCUGGUCUGAGAGGACGACCAGCCACACUGGGACUGAGACACGGCCCAGACUCCUACGGGAGGCAGCAGUGGGGAAUUUUGGACAGUGGGCGCAAGCCUGAUCCAGCAAUGCCGCGUGCAGGAUGAAGGCCUUCGGGUUGUAAACUGCUUUUGUACGGAGCGAAAAGGCUCUCUCUAAUACAGGGGGCUCAUGACGGUACCGUAAGAAUAAGCACCGGCUAACUACGUGCCAGCCGCCGCCGUAA
rnacentral:rRNA from 1 species